rnacentral:rRNA from 1 species
CCUACGGGAGGCAGCAGUGGGGAAUAGUGGACAAUGGGGGGAACCCUGAUCCAGCGACGCCGCGUGAGUGAAGAAGUAUUUCGGUAUGUAAAGCUCGAUCAGCAGGGAAGAAAAUGACGGUACCUGACUAAGAAGCCCCGGCUAACUACGUGCCAGCAGCCGCGGUAAGACGUCGGGGGCAAGCGUUCUCCGGAUUUACUGGGUGUAAAGGGAGCGUAGACGGUGCAGCAAGUCUGAGGUGAAAGGUCGGGGCCCAACCCCGGGACUGCAUUGGAAACUGUUGAACUGGAGUACAGGAGAGGUUAGCGGUAUUCCUAGUGUAGCGGUGCACUGCGUAGCUAUUAGG